UUUCGCAAUGCCCGAAAGGGUGACGAAGCGACGCCGCGUGCGGGAAGAAGGCCUUCGGGUUGUAAACCGCUGUCGGGAGUUAAGAAAUGUAAGGAUGUUAAUAGCAUCUUUGCUUGACUAAGGCUCCGGGGGAAGCCACGGCUAACUCUGUGCCAGCAGCCGCGGUAAUACAGAGGCGGCAAGCGUUGUUCGGAAUUAUUGGGCGUAAAGAGCACGUAGGCGGCUAUGUAAGUCGGUUGUGAAAGCCUUCCGCUCAACGGGAGAACAGCAUCCGAUACUGCAUGGCUUGAGUGCGGGAGGGGAGAGUGGAACUUCUGGUGGAGCGGUGAAAUGCGUAGAUAUCAGAAGGAACGCCGGCGGCGAAAGCGGCUCUCUGGCCCAUAACUGACGCUGAGUGUGCGAAAGCUAGGGGAGCAAACGGGAUUAGAUACCCCGGUAGUCCUAGCCGUAAACGAUGGGCACUAAGUAGAGGGGUUUUA
rnacentral:rRNA from 1 species